rnacentral:tRNA from 1 species
CUCUUGUAGCUCAGUUGGCAGAGCGGUGGUCUUAUGAACCACAAGCCGUAGGUUCGAAUCCUACCAAGAGUAA